UACGUAGGGGGCAAGCGUUGUCCGGAUUUAUUGGGCGUAAAGAGCUCGUAGGUGGUUCGGUAAGUCGGAUGUGAAAUCUCCAGGCUCAACCUGGAGGGGUCAUUCGAUACUGCCGUGACUAGAGGUCGGUAGGGGAGUGUGGAAUUCCUGGUGUAGCGGUGAAAUGCGCAGAUAUCAGGAAGAACACCCGUGGCGAAAGCGGCUCUCUGGAACGGUACUGACGCUGAGACGCGAAAGCGUGGGGAGCGAACAGG
rnacentral:rRNA from 1 species